UUUGGUGUCUUACAAUAGAAUAAAAGUAUGACACGUGACAAACGGUAAACAAAAAUUUGUUAGGUCAAAUGAGAGGCACCCUAAUGUACUAUAUGUAGAUGGAAAAAAUGUACACGAUGCGAUGCUAGACGGACACGACUUGGCCUAACUAACACUCAAUACUGAGACAACAACUGAGUCGAUGUAGAACCGGGAACGCGUACGGAUGUAUACUCGCAACGACGUGACCAGCAUUGCAGAUUAAACUCAUAGAGCAAUAGGAGUAUAAAUAAAUAAUAAACAUAAACAUAAUAAACAUACACAUUAUAAAUAAUGAAGAAAUAUAUAAAAAAUAUGUACAUAAGUAUUUGUGCUUGAGUGUAGAGGGAAGUUUAAUUUACGAAAGCUGAAUGGAAAAUGCGAAGGGAUGCUAAAACAAACAACGCAUAUUAAAUAGAUAUAUAAGGUAGGAAACACCGUUAGUCGCUCGCAAAUACAUACAUUUUUGUGCAUAAUAGUGAGUAGGGGGAAAAAGUACUUAGCUGGUUAUGAAAAAGGAGUGUAAUAAAAAUUUCAUACACGCAGAAUUUGGCUUGAAUAAGUCAGGUGCCUUUGCGGUUUAAACAAAACUGCACACACACACGCGAACACAUACGAAUAUACUUAGAACAGAUACUGAAUACAACGAGUGGAUUUAAGCGAGGAGGAUUGACGAGGAACGUGAAAUACAAACUAAGUGAAACGACAACGGUAAAGGAAGUGCGACCAACAGAAAUAGCAAUCUCAAAAGCAGCAGCAACAGCAGCACCAGCGACUGAGCAGCAACAGUCGCAGUAGAGCUGCUCCUUCUUAAUUAAGGCUGGUAAUAUCCGUCGCAUACACUACUCCUCAAACAAAACACACAUCUCCACUUAGCAUACAAGCACACGCAACCGUACACACACAUCCAUACAUACAUCUGUGUGCGCACUCAAAGCCACCAACCAAAUUGAAUAGGCUUUUAGGCGCAGUGACGGCCAGGCGGCAGAAGUAAAAGUACAUAGCAGCAGUGUAGGCGCUGACAACAGUAAUUCCAGAAUCCUCGUUGAAUUACGCUUCAGCUGGCUUUUGGCUGAUUCGACUGGCGGCUGGAGAACGACAGCUUAUUGGCUCAUUUUAAAGCACCUACAAGCCAGCUGAGACCGCCGCGGCACAAAGUAGGCAUUGAAUUGGCGAGACAGCAAACCCCCUGCGGCUUGUAUGCGCUUACGUGAUACCAAUACAUACAUACAUACAUACACAGAGACACAUACAUACACACCUAUUUGUACUAAAAUUUGUGUUGAGUUGAAGGAUUUUUUUUGUGCUCACUUCCGUGUACUAUUUAGUAGUGGUAGUGGCGGUAGAGCAGUCCGCCGUCAGUCAGCAUACAGCACAUAGUUGGUGUUUGUUGUUGCGUCAAGCGAUUGACUGCAGUGCAGCAGAAUUAAACAAGCAUAGACACACAAGCACGCGCACACACAAGAAAUAAAGAUCAAAAUUUGACGUGUGUUUGGCUGCAGAUUUCACAGCAAAAAA